UCCUCUGUAGUUCAGUCGGUAGAACGGCGGACUGUUAAUCCGUAUGUCACGGGUUCGAGUCCAGUCAGAGGAGCCA
rnacentral:tRNA from 2 species